UAUUGUGUCCUGGCUGAGUUCUUGUGAAGCUGUAGUCUGUAUUAACCAGUUGUUUCUGGUUGGUGGAAUGGGUCCUCGUGGGCCUGGAGGACCAGGUUGGGGAGGCCCUGGCCCUGGUUCUUGGGGGCCUUGGUUUGGUGGCUUCUUCGGGUCCUGCUUCUACCUCCUCUGUUGUUGCUGCCUGCUCCAAGACUGCUGCGCCCCAUUCUUCGGACCCCCGGGCCCAGGCGGCUCACCACCACCACCACCACCCUUCUGAUAGCAGCCCAACAUAUCCACCACAACAAAUAAUGCAGGCCUAAAUGUUGGCUGAAGAGCUUACUUGUGUGAACAUUCUGGCUGGUGGGAGUACCCCUUGCUACAGUAGUACACACACUACUGAAAAUAAUUGUCCUGUAUCUAUUGGAGAUGAUUGUCUUACCUAGUUAUGUGGCACUUAUAUUGUUUGUACUGGCUGAAUGCAAUUAUUGGACACAAUAUGUUGCUGCUAUUUCUAGAUGGUUUUUGUAGAUUCAGUAGUUUACAUAAUUUUUGCCCGGCACAAUAUGCAGUUGGAGGAUAUAUGUGUUGAUUAGAUUAGAUCAAACCAUACAAUAAACUUAAUAUAUUUGACACAA